UAAUCGCUACUACAGCGUGAUGUAAGCGAAGAUGUAAUCGCUGAGAUAAGCGCUUAUGUCAGCGCCUUAUCUUGUACUAUAAAUAUGUGUGUAUCCCCAUUGUGAAAUAUCAUCAAAUAAUUUCAUAAAAAACCUCUCUCUAUAGUUUCUCUCUCCAUUGUUCUUCUAGACUCCCAAGUUUUCCAGAACUUAUCUCACCUUUGAUAAGCUUUGUUUUCUAUCUUCGAUCGCAAGUCCCGAUUUUGUCCGCUGCAUUAAUUAAGCAUAAGCGGUUCUGUCAAUACGACAUUGUCAACACGAUUUUCGUGGGGAGUUAAUUUCCUAACGGUGGUUGAGUUAGGGAAGAGUAAUGCCCAAAUUGCUCCCAAUACUUGGAAAUUACCAUGCCCUCGUCUGUCAAUAAGACUUUGUCAACACGACGAACCGUUUACCGCUUGGCACAAUGGUAUCGGAGCUUAUACGUUGUUCUGUUGACAAAAAAAAACGUUGUUCUCACGAAUCUCACCAACUUUAUUCAUUGAUCUACGAUAUGGCAAUUUUCAUUUUCCGCCGGCUUUGCUUUCCGGGGGUGCUAGUUAAUUCACUGGCUUUGUAUAUCUCUUUGUGUUCUAUGGUUUAAUGAAUAUAAACAAAUUACAUACUGGUUAACACAUUGCGGUGGUCUAUUAGUUUUAAUUAAAGGAGGAGUUGUUAUGUUGGUUUAAGACGAGAGAUCGAUUUCCCUCAAAUGCAAAAUUAUUAGUUUUAUUUGUAACCACACGAAUAUGGAUUAAUUGCUUAUAGCUUAUUUGGAUACUCGGAAAAUGAUCCAUC
rnacentral:lncRNA from 1 species